CUCUGUCAUGCCCUUCCAGGGUGCAGGAGCUCUCCCUCUUAAGUGACGUCACGGGUGGUUAUCCCCUCUUUCCUGUGUAAGAGCAGCAGCUGCAGCUCCUCUGCUCACUACUCAGCCAUCCUUGCAUCCUUGCGUGGACAGCUCUGUUGCCAUCUUCUACGGAGAGGACAGAGUGGCUGUCCUGGUCCCCGAGGGCAGGGACCCGGGCCUGGCAUUCCCCGAUGCUUUCAGCAUGGACUGAGAGCAGUGCCAGUCCUUCAAGGCAGCAAAGGGCAAGAAGGCAAUGAUGUUGGGCGUCCACAGUGGGACUGAGAAGAUAGAGGCCCCAGUGCUUCUUCUGGCUGCAGUAGGACAGGCAGCGACCCUGGGAACAGCAGAAAGAUGCCUCCGUGGGUACCACCUCUCCUUGCUGUGGCAUAUUAUGGAUCAGUCUCCUUCAAAACCGCUGCUUCUCUUUCAAGGAAAAUCAGGGCCAUGGCAUGCUGCUAACCCAAUAGCCCUGGAAGGAGAAAGAGAGACAGAGGAAGUGCCAACACAGAGGUAACCAUGAAAAUUCUAGAGUUUGGGACUUCCGCACGUCUUCACAGCACUUGAGGAUGCACUCCUCAGUGCCCAGGAAAAUGGAUAAGAACUGUGAAAUACUCGACCAGUUCAACAGACGUCUUCAGGCCUUGACCAGAUGCAUGGCGAUGCUCACCUUGGAACUGCCUGAGGGCAGCGAUGAUUCCACCAGCUCGGUCACAGUGAGUGAAAACCGCUGCUCUUUGAGGACAUCGCUGUAUCCGUUGAGCACCAGUUGUGGGGAAAUGGAGGCACCUUACCGACACCCAAAAGCCCAAGAGAACUUGGAAAGCUCCAUCCCAGAAAGGAAAGCGGAGCAGGGACUGGGCCUCAGUGAUCAGAGAAAGCCUGAUGUGAUGGUGGCUCCCAGGGUGCAGGACCUGCCCUUAGAGGAUGAGGCUAUGCAAAGUCAUUUGGAGCAUCCUAACAUAAAAAUGCAGGCACCACAGUUCCUGAAGAGGAGUUUCUCAGAGCCUGUCCUGGGUCAGAGAGACUCCCAGCUUCCCCAUCCUCUGAGGCACUCAAGGAGGCCCACUUACUCGCUCAUCCAGCGUGGGCAUGGGCAAGCUCUGGCAAGGAGGUCAGCAGCAUGGGCCCUUGUCCUAUGGCGAAAAUCUGCCCCCGAGACAGAUACGUGCAGACAAGAAACAAGGAUUCCAGUCCACAUUGCCUGCUGCAGAAUCUAUGAAGGCCCUGAUGACCAUCAGAUCAAGAUGAUGCAUCUGUGGCUGGAGCAAUAUGAAUAUGUUGAGAGGCGAAAGUUGGAAUUUUAUAGAGACUACUACACCCAGCCUAACAACGAAGGAUCCCAGGGCGUGGCUCCAUCUGACACUGCAGCCCCGGUUGUUGCAGGAGGAGCAACAGUUCGAGAGAGGAAUUCACCCGAGGUCAAGGCCAGUGAGCAACAGGACAAGAAAAAUACCACUGCUGCCCAGCAGCCAGAGGGGCUCCCUGAACGUACCCUCGUGGAGAGUUCUUCGGUUCUGCCAUGGAGGCGUCUGCCACCGGGUAGACCAUUCAGACCCCAAGCAGCACACGCAGAGAUGACGCCCAGGCAAGAAGCAGCAGAACACACGACUCCUAGACCAGAGACACCACCUGUGCUGUGCAGAAACUGCUGUGCACCAGCCCUCCUGUGCCAUUUCAUUCAGAAUGCCGGGGCCAAGCUCCGAGCUGCCUGCAUGGCCCUCUAUUCCCUGAUCAGAAAGGCAACUAAGAAGCUCUCAAAGAAGGGAAGAGAGCCCAUCAUGAAAAACAGAUCCUUAGAGCAGGCCAGGCUGGACACAGAUCAACGUAGGAGUAGACGAUCACUGAGUCUACUGGCCAAAAAGAAAAACCCACGUACACCUCAGGAGGCAAUGAGGAAGGACAUGGUGGCAUCUCAAGAUAAGACUUUCAGCGAUGCCAGUGAGGCCAGAGGUGCCGAAAAAGCAUUGAGCCAGGGUGGCAGCAGCCACAGGCACCUGGACGUGCUGGCUCCUGUUGCCCAUAGAGAGCCAGCCAACGUGCUGCUACCUCGGAGAAGGCUGCUCUUGGAGACUGAAGCUCCUGCCCCAUCUCAGUCUGUUCUAGCAGAUGUCCAGGCAGGCACAGCUGCAGUGAGUAGUGGAUUACUGCCAGAUGCUACCAGGGGGCAGAAGCAGAAGGGCAAGGGACACACCCAGGACAAGCCAGCUCCUCCAAGAAGAAAGUCCCCAAAGAAAAAGCAGUCCUCCAGUGAGCAGAGACCCUCAGGUCUGCCACAGCCUCCAAAUCCCACUGGGACCAACGUUCCAGUCCUCUUCGUGCAGCAGCAGAGACCCUCAGGUCUGCCACAGCUUCCAAAUCUCGCUGGGACCGACAUUCCAAUCUCCCUCCUGCAGGAGCUUUUCACAGCACUUAGAGAUUUGAAGAAAGCCAGACAAACUGCUGAUGAGCUGCAGAAGCAGGUGCUGGCUUCCUUCUCAAAUCAGCCCACAAACAAUGCCAAGUAACUGAGGACAGAUACGGCAGCAGAGGAACCUGGGGCGAGGACACAGAGUGGAAGAGAAGGGCGAGGGAUGCACCCAGAACAGAUCUGACUAUGGGUCACUCUGCCCUACAUGCACCAAAGCUCCAUGCUGCUGCCAGCCAGGAGGUGUAAGCUCCCAGCGAUUGGCUGCACCUGCAACUGCAGCCCCAGGUGCAGGAAGAGAAGUGACUGUGAGAGAAGAAUCCCUCCAUGAGGACAGGGACAAGAGGCAGCAGACCUGAAAAAUGCUCCUGCCGAUCAGCAGCCAGAGGGGCUCCUUUGGCUAAGGACAUCAACCCCUGUAAUUGCAGGAGGGAGCCCACCAGGACACACAGUCAGUGAGCAGCAGAUCUCUGUCAUGCCCUUCCAGGGUGCAGGAGCUCUCCCUCUUAAGUGACGUCACGG
ensembl:lncRNA